rnacentral:misc_RNA from 1 species
AAGUCGUAACAAGGUUUCCGUAGGUGAAUCAUUAACACGUAUCCCGUUAAAACCCCGUGCAUUUUAACCCUGCUCUCUUCACCUCAAAAAGCAAUUUCUGGUAAAUCAUAGCAACAGUUUGAUUCAGAGACUUCUUUAAGACGUGGGGAUGGAGCGGUAGAGCAAAGAGUUGACCCUCACGUCAACGGACAGGUCUCUGGGGCUUCGGCUCCCAUAUUAACCCCGUAUUGAAAGUCGGGCUUGCAAACUACAGGCCCACAAAACGAACAACUGUUAACAAUGGAGAUGUUCUC